ACAGUCGUGGCCGAGUGGUUAAGGUGAUUGACUAGAAAUCCAUUGGGGUUUCCCCGCCCAGGUUCAAAUCCUGCCGAUUGCG
rnacentral:tRNA from 2 species